CCUAAGCAUUGGGUCGACGGUUCCCCAAUUGGAUGACUCCAAGGGGAUUAAUAGGGAACACGGUGCGGAAGACCCAAUUGGGACCAAGACCGUGGCUGCCCCCGCAACUGUAAGCGGAUUGCCGUCCAUCGUGGUGCGAAAGCACCAGGCCACUGCGAGUUCAAUCGUGGGAAGGCAGAUGGACAGCAGAUAUCCGCGAGCCAGGAGACCUGCCGUCACAGAAGAGAAACC
rnacentral:ncRNA from 2 species